rnacentral:lncRNA from 10 species
CCCGCCCCGCCCACGGCCCUCCUCCUGGCAGCCCAGCAACAAGCGGCCACCGCCCCCACCCCGGGGCGGGCAGAAGCGCAGCAACCCCGCGGUGCUCCCGGAAGACACCGCGUCUCCAACAUUUACACGGAGAUGCUGCUCGGCUCAGGUCGGGUCCGUACGCUUCCCGAGGUGCGUACUACGCGAGCCACACACAUCACUACCGAUAUUCCUGAGAAAGUCGGUGCCACAGUUCCGACCUGAAUCUGAAAGUGCUUCUAAACCCCAUGCUUCACAGAACGUUCGGAGGGGGAGGCGCUCCGUGGGGGCUGCUGCGUGCCCAUGUAGCCGAACUGACUCGAAUAAAAGCGUGUCCACGUCUACAUCACACAUCUGUGUAAAUGCAGAAGCCUGCGGAUGCGCGGGGCUGGCCAGACUUCACAGUGUGCAGACACAUGGGCUCAUGCACGCGCACGCGCGCGCUCACACACACACCCCAAAUUACCUCCGGGAUGGAGAAAGCCGCUGCGGAUUGGCCAGCAGAGCCGUCACUCACGCCCAGGGGGCAGGGAGACUUCGCAAAGCUGUUUCCUUUUUUUUUUUUCCUCCUCUCCUCCCUACCGUUUCAUUUAAUGGUAAAACAACAGCAGAGCUCUGAAAGUUAGCCAUCUGCGCAGAGUUUGCCUUCUUUAAGGAGGGAGGCGUCAGACGAUAUCCAUUUAAAUAUAUUUUGUACUUCCACAAAGGAUGGAAAGGGAAAUUCACGAAGGGAGUGGAGGCGGAAAGGGAGCUCCGAGAAAGAAGGAGGGGUCAUUCCGCGGGGGGCGGGGGGGGGGGCGGGGGCCGACGCAGGGGAAAGAGUUGCUCUCUACACCGAAAAGGGACUUUGACCUUCCAUUGAUCUCGAAAUUCAAAAACGUUUCUUCACAGGUCAGAUUGUAACAAACACUCGUUCCUAAUUUAUGAACUCGCCGUUUUGAUUUUAUUAUUUAAGCAUGCGCCAGCAAUCGUGUUUCCUUAAGAAAGAACUGACCUAUUUUUGGCUGGAGAUAAACGAUCAUGUUAACAGAUGUUAAUCUUGUAAUCUGUUUUUCCUGUAAGCACUUUACCUAGCCGGGUUUCAGACCUUAAAAAUAACAUCUUUUCCAAAAAGACCUGACGUCACAAUUCACUCCCUGAAAAAUCACACUCCCCCUCCAGUUUCUUCCCCUGCAAUGAUUUCAAAGACAUUAAAUCUUUUCCACUUUAUAAAUGCUGAUCUGUUCUGCCUCUACUCCCACAGGCUCUUAUUUGCAUUUCAAAUUCCACAGGUUACACCAGUCGCCUUUUCAAAAAAUGUAAACCAACAAUGCAGCAGCAAAUGGCUUUUUGUGCAUCUGGAUUAAAUAAAGCACAGAAUGAAUAUAUUUAAAAAGAGGGCUGCGCAAGU